rnacentral:lncRNA from 1 species
UAAAACUCAGUCAGUUGUUGUCAACAGCGAGUGUUGAAAUGGCGCAGAAGGGAGUUCUUCUGGACCGUGAGUCUUUCUCUUGUUCCAUCUGUUUGGAUCUUCUGAAGGAUCCGGUGACUGUUAACUGUGGACACAGCUUCUGCAUGAGCUGUAUUCAAUCCUACUGGGAUACUGAGGAUGAGAAGAAGAUCUACAGCUGUCCUCAGUGCAGACGGACCUUCAGACCGAGGCCUGUCCUGAUGAAAAACACCAUGUUAGCAGGUUUAGUGGAGGAAGUGAAGAAGAGUGGACUCCAAGCUGCUCCUGAUGAUCCCUCUGAGGCUGGACCUGAAGAUGUGGCCUGUGAUUCCUGCAGUGGGAGAAAACUGAAGGCUGUCAAGUCCUGUCUUCAAUGUCUGGUUUCUUACUGCCAGAUUCACCUCCAGCCUCAUUUUGAAUCACCUUCAUAUAAGAAACACAAGCUGGUGGAGCCCUCCAAGAACCUCCAGGAGAACAUCUGCUCUCGUCAUGAUGAGGUGAUGAAGAUCUUCUGCCGCACUGAUAAGAAGUCUAUCUGUCAUCUCUGCUGUUUGGACCAACACAAAGGUCACAACACAGUCUCAGCUGCGGCAGAAAGGACUGAGAGGCAGAAAGAUCUGGAGGAGAGUCGAGAAAACAUCCAGCAGAGAAUCCAGGACAGAGAAGAAGAUGUGAAGCUGCUCCAACAGGAGGUGGAGGCUAUCAACGGCUCUGCUGAUAAAGCUGUGGAGCACAGCCAGGAGAUCUUCAGCCAGCUGAUCCGUCUGAUGGAGAAACGCCGCUCUGACGUGGAGCAGCAGGUCAGAUCCCAGCAGGAACGUGAAGUGAGUCGAGUCAAAGAACUUCAGGAGAAACUGGAGCAGGAGAUCACUGAGCUGAAGAGGAAAGAUGCUGAUCUGCAGAAGCUCUCACUCACAGAGGACCACAACCAGUUUCUGCACAGCUACCCCUCACUGUCAGAACCGGGUCAACCUGCAGA